rnacentral:rRNA from 1 species
GAUCAUGGCUCAGGAUGAACGCUAGCUACAGGCUUAACACAUGCAAGUCGAGGGGCAGCGGGAUUGAAGCUUGCUUCAAUUGCCGGCGACCGGCGCACGGGUGAGUAACGUGUAUCCAACCUUCCGUACACUCAGGGAUAGCCUUUCGAAAGAAAGAUUAAUACCUGGUGGUAUGAUGAGAUUGCAUGAUAUCAUCAUUAAAGAUUUAUCGGUGUACGAUGGGG